rnacentral:misc_RNA from 1 species
UUUGGGGCUCCGAGAGACAAUAGGUUCAACAACAGCCUUCUUAUUGGCUUGCAGGAAGGUUUGGUGGUGGAUCGGUCCCUUGGGCUUCGCAGCUGGAUCGUCGGGUUUGGGAGGAACGACGGAGACGACGAUGUUGUCGGGGACGACGUCGGACGACGGCAGACGAGGGUAAAGAAAGUCGGUGGGGAAGAACUUGUAUUGAAGACCUGCCAUGGAAGAGAAGGAAGAAGAAGAAAGAAGAAAGAAGAAAG